rnacentral:rRNA from 1 species
ACUUUGAUCAUGGCUCAGAUUGAACGCUGGCGGCAGGCCUAACACAUGCAAGUCGAGCGGGGUUUCGGACCUAGCGGCGGACGGGUGAGUAAUGCGUAGGAAGCUACCCGAUAGAGGGGGAUACCAGUUGGAAACGACUGUUAAUACCGCAUAAAUGUCUACGGGACCAAAGUGUGGGACCUUCGGGGCCACAUGCUAUCGGAUGCGCCUACGUGGGAUUAGCUAGUUGGUGGGGGUAAUGGCUCACCUAGGCGACGAUCCGUAACUGGUCUGAGAGGAUGAUCAGUCACACUGGAACUGAGACACGGUCCAGACUCCUACGGGAGGCAGCAGUGGGGAAUAUUGGACAAUGGGCGAAAGCCUGAUCCAGCCAUGCCGCGUGUGUGAAGAAGGUCUUCGGAUUGUAAAGCACUUUAAGUUGGGAGGAAGGGCAGUAAGUUAAUACCUUGCUGUUUUGACGUUACCAACAGAAUAAGCACCGGCUAACUACGUG